rnacentral:rRNA from 1 species
CAGCGACCCCAGGUCAGGC